rnacentral:rRNA from 1 species
CCUACGGGGGGCAGCAGUGGGGAAUAUUGCACAAUGGGCGCAAGCCUGAUGCAGCGACGCCGCGUGCGGGAUGACGGCCUUCGGGUUGUAAACCGCUUUCAGCAGGGAAGAAGCGCAAGUGACGGUACCUGCAGAAGAAGCGCCGGCUAACUACGUGCCAGCAGCCGCGGUAAUACGUAGGGCGCAAGCGUUGUCCGGAAUUAUUGGGCGUAAAGAGCUCGUAGGCGGUCUGUCGCGUCUGCUGUGAAAUCCUGAGGCUCAGCCUGGGGCUUGCAGUGGGUACGGGCAGACUAGAGUGCGGUAGGGGUGACUGGAAUUCCUGGUGUAGCGGUGGAAUGCGCAGAUAUCAGGAGGAACACCGAUGGCGAAGGCAGGUCACUGGGCCGCAACUGACGCUGAGGAGCGAAAGCAUGGGGAGCGAACAGGAUUAGAUACCCGUGUAGUC